GCAGUCACCUGUGUGCCCAGUGGCGCGCCCGCGUGCCUGUGGCCGGCACCUUCAGAGCCAGCGACACACAGCUCAGGCAUCCCUUGCCACACGUCAUCCCACGACACAGGUGGGACCCCCUUCUAGACCUGAACCCUUGGCGCAGGGCCACCCAGGGCUGCGCAGUAGGACGCAGCAGGUCUGAGAACCAGACGGUUGCUUUGGGCGGCACCUGCGGAGGGCCGAGCAACUUCUCCAGGCCUCCUGCCACUUUGGAAACUGCCUGGGACUGCAACCUCUUCAGCCCCGGGGACUGAGAGAGGGUGGGUUGGUUUGAAAGACAAAAGGGGAAAAAAUGUGUUGUGGGGCGGGCUAAGUUUCCCACCCUCUUCCCCCUUCCCGAGCAAAUUAAAAACAAAACAAAUAGAAAAGCCUGCCUGGCAGCCAACCAAAGCCCCAAUACGAGCCCAGCCGAAACACUCAAUCCUUUAAAAGGAUUUGCAGCAGUGAGGAAAAAACCAGAGCUGACCGAAGAAUCGUUCUGCAAACCCAGGUGCACAUCUCUGAAGUAAGAUGAUUUGUCAGAAAUUCUAUGUGAUAUUAUUACACUGGGAAUUUCUGUAUGUGAUAGCUGCACUUAACCUGCCAUAUCCAGUUUCUCCCUGGAGAUUUAAGUUGGUUUGUGCACCACUAAAUACAACGGAUAACUCCUUUCCUUCACCUGCUGGAAUCCCAAAGAAUGCCUCUGCUUUGGGUGGGGGUUAUGAAGCAGUUUUUGAAACUAACUUCAAUGCAAGCAGCACAUAUGUUUCUGAGUUAUCCAAAACCAUUUUCCACUGUUGCUUUGGGAAUGAUCAAGGUAAAAACUGCUCUAUGCUAGCAGGCAACACUGAAGGGAAGACACUGGCUUCAAUGGCAAAGGCCUUGAUUUUUCACCAGCUAGGUGUAAACUGGGACAUAGAGUGCUGGAUGAAAGGGGACUUGACAUUAUUAAUCUGUCACAUGGAACCAUUAAAGAGCCCCUUCAAGAACUAUGACUCUAAGGUCCAUCUUUUUUAUGAUCUGCCUGAAGUCAUAGGUGAUUUGCCUCUGGCCCCCUUGAAAGACACUUUUCAGACUGUCCAGUGCAACUGCAGUGUUCGGGAAUGUGACUGUCAUGUGCCAGUACCAAGAGACAAACUCAACCACUCUCUUCUGAUGUAUUUGGAAAUGACAUCUGCUGGUGUGACUUUUCAGUCACCUCUAAUGUCAGUGCAGCCAAUGCUUGUCGUGAAGCCUGAUCCACCCUUAGGUUUGCAUAUGGAAAUCACAGACGAUGGUAAUUUAAAGAUUUCUUGGGACAGCCCAACGGUGGCACUGUUUCCACUUCAAUAUCAAGUCAAAUAUUCAGAGAAUUCUACAGUUAUAAGGGAGGCUACUGAAGCUGUCUCGGCUCCAUCCCUGCUGCUACACAGCCUGCUUCCUGGGUCUUCGUAUGAGGUUCAGGUGAGAACCAAGAGACUGGACGGCUCAGGAGUCUGGAGUGACUGGAGUUUGCCUCAAGUCUUUACCACACAAGAUGUCAUGUACUUUCCACCCAAAAUUCUGACAAGUGUUGGAUCGAAUGCUUCCUUUCACUGCAUCUACAAGAAUGAAAAUCAAAUUAUUUCCUCAAAACAGAUAGUUUGGUGGAUGAAUCUAGCUGAGAAAAUCCCUGAAAUCCAGUAUAGUGCUGUGAAUGACCAUGUUAGCAAAGUCACUUUCUCCAACUUGAAAGCCACUAGACCUCGAGGGAAGUUUGCCUAUGACGCAGUGUACUGCUGCAGUGGGCAAGGGUGCCAUCAUCGCUAUGCUGAGUUAUAUGUGAUCGAUGUCAAUAUCAAUAUAUCAUGUGAAACUGAUGGGUACUUAACUAAAAUGACUUGCAGAUGGUCACCCAGCACAAUCCAAUCACUUGUGGGAAGCACUGUGCAGUUGAGGUAUCACAGGAGCAGCCUGUAUUGUUCUGACAGCCCAUCUAUUCAUCCUGCAUCUGAGCCCCAAAACUGCAUUUUGCAGAGGGAUGGCUUUUAUGAAUGUGUUUUCCAGCCAAUCUUUCUAUUAUCUGGCUACACAAUGUGGAUCAGGAUCAACCAUUCUUUAGGUUCUCUUGAGUCUCCACCAACAUGUGUCCUUCCUGACUCUGUAGUAAAACCACUACCUCCAUCUAGUGUGAAAGCAGAGAUUACUAUAAACACUGGAUUAUUGAAAAUAUCUUGGGAAAAGCCUGUCUUUCCAGAGAAUAACCUUCAGUUCCAGAUUCGAUAUGGCUUAAAUGGAAAAGAAAUACAGUGGAAGAUGCAUGAGGUAUUUGAUGCAAAAUCAAAGUCUGCCAGCCUGCCGGUGCUGGACCUCUGUGCAGUGUAUGUGGCACAGGUACGCUGCAGGAGAUUGGAUGGACUUGGGUACUGGAGUAAUUGGAGCAGGCCAGCCUACACGCUUGUCAUGGAUGUAAAAGUUCCUAUGAGAGGACCUGAAUUUUGGAGAAUAAUGAAUGGCGAUAUUACUAAAAGGGAGAGAAAUGUCACCUUGCUUUGGAAGCCCCUGAUGAAAAAUGACUCCCUGUGCAGUGUGAGGAGGUAUGUGGUGCAGCAUCGUACUGCCCACAAUGGGACGUGGUCAGAAGACGCUGGAGAUCAGACCAAUCUCACUUUCCUGUGGGCAGAACAAGCACACACCGUUACAGUUCUGGCCAUCAACUCCAUUGGCGCUUCCCCUGCGAAUUUUAAUCUAACGUUUUCAUGGCCAAUGAGUAAAGUGAGUGCCGUGCAGUCACUCAGUGCUUACCCCCUGAGCAGCAGCUGUGUGAUCCUUUCCUGGAUACUGUCACCCGGUGAUUACAAUCUAAUAUACCUGGUUAUUGAAUGGAAGAAUCUUAAUGAAGAUGACGGGAUGAAAUGGCUUAGAAUCCCUUCGAAUGUUAAGAAGUAUUAUAUCCAUGAUAACUUUAUUCCAAUUGAGAAAUAUCAAUUUAGUCUUUACCCAGUAUUUUUGGAAGGAGUUGGAAAACCAAAGAUAAUUAAUGGUUUCACCCAAGAUGAUAUGGACAAGCAACAGAAUGAUGCAGGGCUGUAUGUGAUUGUGCCCAUAAUUAUUUCCUCUUGUGUCCUACUGCUUGGAACACUGUUAAUCUCACACCAGAGAAUGAAAAAGUUGUUUUGGGAAGAUGUUCCAAACCCCAAGAAUUGUUCCUGGGCACAAGGACUUAACUUCCAAAAGAGAACGGACAUUCUUUGAAGUCUUUCAUGACCACUACAGAUGAACCCAAUGUACCAACUUCCCAACAGACUAUAGAGUAUUAGAAGAUGUUUACAGUUUGAAGGAGGGAAACAAACCUAAACUGUUGUCUGAAUUACUAAGAACUAACAUAUGACAAGCUUAUUAGAGACAUGUACAAAUAAGUUUAAUGUAGUUCAGUUGGGGGCAUAUGCUUAAUUGUCAGGGCAGCUAAAGUUUAAAAUUAAUAUUCAUGGUCUCUGCUUCAAAUUUUUAAUUUUCUGAUCCUCAAAUGUUAAUGGUGUGACUGUUGCUGUCAGAACAUAUUCUAUUAUCAAAUAUGAUAGAAAUAUAGUAGAAAUUGCUAUAACAACAUGAUCUCUAAUGGGCAACUUCUGACAUACAGCCUUGCAAAAACUCCACAUACAAACUGCAGGGAAGGUAUUUAGUUUUUAUUUCUAUGUGGGAAAGCUUCCAUAUCAGAGUUCUUUACAGAUACAAAAUGAUAAAUUUCAAGUUCUCUUAAAUAACAUGAUUUUUGUGUACCAAAUUUGGAGCAAUCUAGGAAUUUUAGUUUUUUUAUGGUCUUAAACAUGGCUUAAGUUCUAACUCUCAAUUUAGUUUAAAGAGAGCCAGAAGUUGUGGUUUUUGAUGAUCACAGACCAAUGCGAGCUAUGCUUCAUAUUAGAAUAACCCUACACACUCAGGUCAGAUUGCCCAGAGCAGAAGAGAGUACUAACCUCCAUGAAUCUAAUUUAUUUCCACUGAAACAGUCAAGACUUCUGGCAGGCAAGGAAGUGUGCAGGAAAGAGAGACUUUAUGGAGUUUUACAAAUAGUUCAUGGUAAGAACAGGGCUUUUCUCCCUGAAAAAACAGAUUUAUUGCCAUGUCUGUAGUAUUCAGGCUUUACUGCUUACAUUCAAACUAAACCAAAUUGAUGAACACAAGAAAACUCAAAUUUAAGGUAUGUGGGUAACUUAGAUGUGGUUGGUAAUUAUAUUUGAAUGUCUAAAGAAAAUUAAGACACUAGGAGGAUGUAUCCCCUUUUCUUGUAUUUACUAUUAAUAGACAUCAUUGCAAAAUAAUGUUCAGCUGUGAACUUAAGAAAGGUUAUUUUUCAAUUCUUAUAUCCAUAGGGUUAAAGAAAUUUUGAACAAAUAUACUUGUAACACAUUUUGUGAAUGGUGAUAUAUAGUUCAGUAAUGUGUGGUUAAAAAUAACAUUUAUUAUUGAAACUUUCCUCAUGAAUGCUUUUUAAGAUGGCCAUGACUAGUUCCACAAUUAAUUAUUCAUAAAGAAGCUUUAGGACCCAUGGAGUAUAUGAAACAGAUCAUUUGAAUAACACACAUGAGCUCAAAUGCAUGCUGUAUUUCUAUUUUUCCAUAUUGAUAGAAAGAAGAUAAUGAAAUGAAUUGAUCAGAUGUUAAGUUCAUUUAAAAUUUUAGAACAACUCAAUAAUAUAAAUAGUAGAAACAUUAAGGGAAAAAUAAAAUGUUUGAAGGAAGUGACAAAUGUAUAGAUUUCUGUCAGAAAAAAAUGUCAAUUUUCUCUUAAUUUUUUAACAGUACUUGUCAUUCACUAUUUUAACACUUACAUAUGUCUAUGCCAUUAUUAUAUUUAUUCCUCUAUUACUAAUAUAUUUCAGUUAAGAGUUUGCAGCUGCUAUGUUUUUAUAUGGGAUAUGCUUGCCAUUAUAAACAUUUGAGUAUACUGCUAUCUCAGGCAAUAACUAAGAAUUCAUUUGAUUAGCUUAAAAAAUAUAACAUUCAAAUUCUAAAUUACAUGUAUGAUCUAGAUCUAUGAACCAAACACAUCUUCUGUUUUUUGUGUUAACUAUUCAAUGUGAUGUAUCUGCAGUUAUUUUUUAUUUUGCAUUUUAAUUUUACAUUUUAAGUUUACAUUGUUUGUACUGAGCUUUGUGCACACAGAUUUUUGAUUUGUAGUUGCUUGGCGGGAUUUCAUUGUUAUGUAACCAUUGUUCUUAUAAAAAAAAGAUAUGCUGUACAUCUGUCUUGUGUGUUUGUCUUCAUUCUAUGUGUUCCAUAGGGUAUGUCUUUACAUGAAGUUAUGUAUAAAGAAUAACAGUUUUCAAGUCUAUCAAUGUCUCUUUCACCAUCAUUAUCUUCAGCAACCUGAAACAUUUGAGCAUCUUUUUACCAAGCAUGCAGAAUCAGUGAUAUUUGGUCCUCUUCUUCUGGAACCUGAACCCAUUUCAGAAGAAAUCAGUGUUGAUACAGCUUGGAAAAAUAAAGAUGAGAUGGUACCAGCA